CAGCGCUGAGGACUGAGUAACCCGUUCCUGCCCUGUGGCUGCUGUUCCCUGUAUCUGCCUUAGCUUUGCUUUGGCUGUUUGUAUUUUGCGUUGUUACUGCACGCGCGUACGUGGAAAGGGAAAGACAGAACGAAUGCUCUCUUAGAUUAAUUGCCACGGCUGAGGUUGAAGAGAGUAAAAAACGUGAGCAAGCUGAAGUAAUAGAAUCCAGGGGAGCCAAGUGAAAGCUGUCUUCCUCUGCCAGAAAAAGGGAAAGCCCGUUCCUCCUGGCAAGGAAGGAGCGCCAUUAAUAGCGAUCCGAAUAAUAGAUCGCCAGCGUAUAACGGAAGGUCUGUAUGCAUUACGAGAAGUGCUGUGCGUACAUGUGUCUCCAUGUGUGUGACUUUACGUGCCUGUGAAGCGUCAUGCUUCACGAGCUGCGAGACAGCAAAUUAUUAUCUUGGGGGAGUGGUGGUCAAGUGACCAGAGCUACUGAAGAGGAAGGGAGCGAGAGAAGGGUCUGAAGUGUAAAACUGAGAGAUCGAUUUCAGGAAGGCUCAAUCAGCGCAAGCCCCGGGUUAGUUACCUGGCAAUGGUAUUUGGGGAGACGGGAUGACAGUAGAUAGGUUGAAGCCUCAUGGAAUUAAGGCUCCUUCUCACCAGUUCCCGCUUAGAGCAAUUGUAGGAGGAUUUAGUUUCCUCCAGCAGCAUUAAGGUGGCUUUGCCGGUGUCAGCAGACCGUGGUGGAAAGUACUGGGAGGGAGUCGGAAAGGGAGCUGGGAUGAGGAACGUGACUCUGCUUUCACUGAACUGGAAGAAGUGGCUAUAAAACCUCCUGCCCUCAAAUUCCCAGGACAAGGAAAGCCUUUUUCGGUAAUGCUUUCCACAUCUGCUGACUGCGUGGGAGCAGCACCACUAGAAAACGGCAGUAAAGGAAAGCGGGUGCCGGUCGCCUCACCUUUACGUCCCCUUUGGGGGUGGAACAAAAAGUCUCUGGCUGUGAGAAAGACUGUUCAGCAGCGAUGUGGGCUGUAACCGUCUUUGAGACUUUUAGCUUUGAUCGCGCAGGGGCCAUCCAAUCUAUUCAGUUCUCUCUAAAGUAAUCACGUCAGGGAAAUGAAGAGACAGCGGAGUAUCAUCUAUCCGAGUGGCGCAGUGGGCGCUGAUCUUAACGAGCGGGGGCAGGGGGGCAGUUGCUGUGCAAGUGUUACAAGCAGUGGCUCUUCUUGUGCGCGUCUGAAUUGACUGAGGGGCAGAGCACGGUUGCGCCAAAAACGCGGACGCAGGAGGUUUCCGAGAGGUUGAUCUCUAGCGGCUACUUAGUCUGACUUCCCUUUCGCGGCAAGCCCGACUGUCUUCAUAGCUCUCAGAACAGGGGUUAGGGGAAGCGGUACUUGUGGCUUGUGUAUUCUUGUUUACCUUGCUUGAGUGUGUAUAUUGGAUCCACUUUUGUGCUUAUAAACAACUUUGGAUUCUUAUGAUUUUCUGCAGAGCUUUGAUCUUUUUCUUUUUUUCUUUUUCUUCUUGGUUUGUUUUUUUUUUUUUUUUGCUUUGCUCCCUCCCUGAUGGAUUUUACUACGCCUCCGUCAACGAGCCCUGGCUGGCAAAGUUGCUGUGUCCCAGCGGAGACUCUUAGGCGAGAUGGAGGAGUUCAGAUCCGCAGCCUGCCAGAAGAACGUCGCCCAGGAGGGGUUGCUAGCCUCGAGCUAUAGGCGCUGGCGUUCAGGACCUCGGGGAACGACUGUGUGCUGCCGUGAAGAACUACAGGCUACCACCGCUCUCGGACCUUUGUAAGUUAUCACGCGUCGAGAGCUUCCAGGAGAAUUCAAAUGCCAGCAGAAAGGUUCUCCGCCCGGUCCCGACGAGGAGGCUUCGGCCACAGGAAGGUCGGCAGCGUCCUUACCGGACUCGCGGGAUGCUGUUCUGAGGGCCAGCAACUCGAAGGGAUGCAGCUCGGCCCUUUUUGUUGACUUUGGUGAUGCUGUUUUGAGGAAGCAUGUAAGUACAGAAGGGGUCUGGGAGGGUUUUCAAACAAGACGGGAAAGAGCAAGGAAGAUUUGAGAGCGUGGAAAAACUAGGUGCCGCGGGUACUGAAGUUGUUACGGGCUGAGGGCGUUUGGCGUUGAGCAUCUGAGAGGGGCUAAUGCACGAGGAACGGUAAAAUGCUGUGACUGAACGCGAGGUUCCUCCCCGGCCUGGGCCCGUGUGUGCACCCUCGCUCCCACAGACACCCCGGAGCCGUAGGGAAACGGGUGAGCAGGCCCACGAGCGGACUUUGGGCACAGCGGUGCGCAGAGAGCGCUGCGGGCUCAGCCGGUGGGGUGGAGUCGGAGCAUGGCGAGCCAGGCUGUCGGGAUCCAUCCGGUUCCGCUCCCUGCCCCUCUGUCCAGCGCUCCAUCCUUCUCUUUCUUUCCCCGUGGCUCUGUCCAGUGCCCCAUCCCUUUGUUUAGCUACUCGUUCCUCUGCCCAGCUCCCCCAUCCCUCUUGUACUCUUUCCAUCUCUGUGACAAUAUCUGCGUCCAUCUAACUGGCUCUCUAUCGCUCUAUCCAGCUCUUCAUCGUCCUCUUCCUCUUCCUAUCCCAGUACCUGCCCGCUGUCCUUCCGUGCGGCUCCCCAUCCGUCUGCCGCUCUCGUCUGCCUUUCUGCCUGUACUUCUCUUUGCCUUCCCAGCCCUCUGUCCACCCCUCCAGCGAUCUCUCUCUAUUUCCAUCCCUCUGCUCAGCUCCUCAUCCAUCUAUUUGCCUCCCUAUCCCUCUUUUCCCCUGUUUUGUCCCAUCUCUCUGUCUGAAUUGCCCUCCCUCUUUUUCUCUCUCCACCUUUCUGGCCAGCUCUUCGUCGUUCUCGUCCUCUUCCCAUCGCUCCUACUGGCUCCCUGUCCCUCUCUUCCUGUCCCCGUUCCUCUCUCUGGUUCUCCCCCCUUCUCUGUUGCUCCCUUGCCGUUCCUCUGGCCGUCUCGCCUUCCCCAUUUUUCUCUCUUCUGCUCCCCGGUCCUCUGUGCAGCCCUCCCUCCAUCUGUGUGGCCCUCUGUCCCUCUCUUUCUCUUCCUUUGUCCAGUGCCCAGACCCUGGGGCCGGCUCUCUGUCCCUCUCUUUCUUUCUCCCUCCAUCCAUCUGCCAAGCUCUCUGCCCCUCUUUUCUUUUGUUCUCCCCCCUGUCCCCGCGUCCAGGUGGAGGUCUGUCGUUCCUUUGCGUUUUGUCUGGUGCGGCGGGUGGCGAGAGGUGGUCGGCGCUCGGCAGAGAUGGUGAUCGGCAGCGCCCGGAGGGUGCCGUCGGUCGGUCUGGUUCGGGUCACGUCGGACACCUCCGCGGGGACUCUGCCCGCGGAGGCGCGGGGCUGUGGCUGUGCAGUGGGGGAGCGCUAGCGGGCUAGAGAUGCCGUGGGGUACGCGGCAGGCAGCGAAGAGGCUCCUGGGGAAGGUGUCACGGAGGCAGAGAGCAGCAGAGGCUCCGAGACCUUGGGCGUUAGGACAGGCGCUCGCGGUAGGGCGGUCUGGAGCUGCUGCUGCUGUCUGUCCUACUCGUCAGCGCGGUCUGCAGUUACGGCCUCUUGUCUGCCUGCGCGCAGCCAGGGCUGUCACGUGGUGCAGCUUGAGUUGUGAUUGCGAUGCUGGCAUUGAGCCCACUUUUCUGUCAGGUCUGCCUUUAUGCAAAGUGGUGUCUUCCCUAUGUCUACAGCUCAACCCAUGUUGUUGAUUUAGUGCUUCCUGAGGGGAUAUGCUGUGCUGUCAACACGCACACCCACCCCACCCCUGCCAUCGCUUCCUGAUGAAUGCAGUCAUUUACAUAGCUUCUGGCUUGUUUCUUUCCUUGGAACUCCUUUCUCUUUGCUGUUCUGGUCCCUCCAAACAAUUUCUGUUUCUAGCAUUAUUAGUGUUGGGCCCUAAACCUUCUAGACCUUCCUUCUUUGAAGUCCAGAGGUUCCAGUAUUGUUUGUACUUUGAGAGUAAAGGUCCUUCACAACUCAUGUCUUAAGUAUGCAACUGCCUUACCUGGGAUUUUCGUUUUCGCAAGUUACUGUUUCUUUCAGGAGCCAGCUACAACAGUAACUUUGCUAUAGCAGAGAAAUGGGGUUACAUGUGUAUGAGCAACAGCACCGUAGUACACAGCAAAGCCAUAAUCUACAGUACUGGUAGCACAAGUCAGUUUCCCAUCAGCUCCAUCUCUCCAGGGUUUGGAGGUUUUGGAGGCCUUACUUUUUAUCCUGCCUUGGCUGGACGGUGCUUUCUGAGAGUGUCCAUCAGAGGCAGAGUUUCCCUGCGGAGGACCAUCUAGCAAAGGCUGGAGGCGGCCGGGUGCCUGAGCGAGCCUGCCUGUCCGUGAGAGCUGCUGUGACAUCUUUGUGAUGAAAUGGAGCCAGAGAGGGUGACUGAAGCAGCACGGAGGGUCAGUCAUAACUGUGGGAACAAUUACGGGCCUUGGACUAGGGAGUAGUUCUAGGAGGGCUGUGCAGUUGCCCGGCCUCUAACUAACUGCUCUGGCCUCUUUGCAGGUGCCGAAGCCCAGUCGGGCAGUCGAAGGAGCCUUGUCACAGCUGGGAGCUCUGCGGAGAUGCGCGGCUGGCCAUGGAGAGUGAGCUCUGACUUGCAGCGUGGACACAGCUAAGUCCUGGGCUGCAUCAUAUGUGAGCAGUGCUGGGAGGUGCGAGGUGAUUGUUCCCUAGGUGGUCACUGGUGUCACUGGCUGUGGAUGUUUGCCCAUGGAGCUGAGAGGACCAAAAAUAUUAAUUGUCUGACCCGGAGAUGAAUUAGUGCUUGCAGUGCUUCAGGAAAAAGCAGAGGAGUAGGCUGUCAGCUACUCGGACACCUGCCACAUCAAGGGCAGCAGCAGGAGAUGACCCUUCCCUGAUGGAUGGAUGGACGCUGGUGUAGUGAUGACUCUUCAGGCAUCACAGGUAAGGGGAAGCAUGCUGACACUGAGCUCCAUGGCAGACUUGCUUCCAGCUAUUGUUUCUGCGCAGUAAAACAAUAAACAGUUGCUUUAUUCUUUGCA